rnacentral:rRNA from 1 species
UACGUAGGGUGCAAGCGUUAAGCGGAAUUACUGGGCGUAAAGCGUGCGCAGGCGGUUUUGUAAGUCUGUCGUGAAAUCCCCGGGCUUAACCUGGGAAUUGCGAUGGAGACUGCAAGGCUAGAAUCUGGCAGAGGGGGGUAGAAUUCCACGUGUAGCAGUGAAAUGCGUAGAGAUGUGGAGGAACACCGAUGGCGAAGGCAGCCCCCUGGGUCAAGAUUGACGCUCAUGCACGAAAGCGUGGGGAGCAAACAGG